rnacentral:rRNA from 1 species
GAACGAAAGAGUUUGAUCCUGGCUCAGAUUGAACGCUGGCGGCAUGCUUUACACAUGCAAGUCGAACG